rnacentral:rRNA from 1 species
GAUGGACGCUAGCGGCAGGCUUAAUACAUGCAAGUCGAGGGACAGCACAGGUAGCAAUACUGGGUGGUAACCGGCAAACGGGUGCGGAACACGUACACAACCUUCCUUUAAGUGGGGGAUAGCCCAGAGAAAUUUGGAUUAAUACCCCGUAAUAUAGUUGAAUGGCAUCAUUUGAUUAUUAUAGCUACGGCGCUUAAUAAUGGGUGUGCGGUUGAUUAGAUAGUUGGCGGGGUAACGGCCCACCAAGUCUACGAUCAGUAGCUGAUGUGAGAGCAUGAUCAGCCACACGGGCACUGAGACACGGGCCCGACUCCUACGGGAGGCAGCAGUAAGGAAUAUUGGUCAAUGGACGCAAGUCUGAACCAGCCAUGCCGCGUGAAGGAUUAAGGUCCUCUGGAUUGUAAACUUCUUUUAUUUGGGACGAAAAAGGGUCUUUCUAGAUCAACUGACGGUACCAGAUGAAUAAGCACCGGCUAACUCCGUGCCAGCCGCCGCGGUAAGAC